AUUGAACGCUGGCGGAAUGCUUUACACAUGCAAGUCGAACGGUAGAGGGGGCAACCCCUCGAGAGUGGCGAACGGGUGAGUAAUAUAUCGGAACGUGCCCAGUCGUGGGGGAUAACGUAGCGAAAGUUACGCUAAUACCGCAUACGAUCUAAGGAUGAAAGCGGGGGAUCGCAAGACCUCGCGCGAUUGGAGCGGCCGAUAUCAGAUUAGGUAGUUGGUGGGGUAAAGGCUCACCAAGCCAACGAUCUGUAGCUGGUCUGAGAGGACGACCAGCCAAACGGGAACUGAGAAAGGGUCCAGACUACUACGGGAGGCAGCAGUGGGGAAUUUUUGACACUGGACGCAAGUCUGAUCCAGCCAUUCCGCGUGCAGGAUGAAGGCCCUCGGGUUGUAAACUGCUUUUGUACGGAACGAAAAGGUCUCUCUUAAUACGGGGGGCUCAUGACGGUACCGUAAGAAUAAGCACCGGCUAACUACGUGCCAGCCGCCGCCGUAA
rnacentral:rRNA from 1 species